ACGCUGGCGGCGUGCCUAAUACAUGCAAGUAGAACGCUGAAGGAAGGAGCUUGCUCUUUCCGGAUGAGUUGCGAACGGGUGAGUAACGCGUAGGUAACCUGCCUGGUAGCGGGGGAUAACUAUUGGAAACGAUAGCUAAUACCGCAUAACAGUAGAUAUCGCAUGAUAGCUGCUUGAAAGGUGCAAUUGCACCACUACCAGAUGGACCUGCGUUGUAUUAGCUAGUUGGUGAGGUAACGGCUCACCAAGGCAACGAUACAUAGCCGACCUGAGAGGGUGAUCGGCCACACUGGGACUGAGGCACGGCCCAGACUCCUACGGGAGGCAGCAGUAGGGAAUCUUCGGCAAUGGACGGAAGUCUGACCGAGCAACGCCGCGUGAGUGAAGAAGGUUUUCGGAUCGUAAAGCUCUGUUGUAAGAGAAGAACGAGUGUGAGAGUGGAAAGUUCACACUGUGACGGUAUCUUACCAGAAAGGGACGGCUAACUACGUGCCAGCAGCCGCGGUAAUACGUAGGUCCCGAGCGUUGUCCGGAUUUAUUGGGCGUAAAGCGAGCGCAGGCGGUUAGAUAAGUCUGAAGUUAAAGGCUGUGGCUUAACCAUAGUACGCUUUGGAAACUGUUUAACUUGAGUGCAAGAGGGGAGAGUGGAAUUCCAUGUGUAGCGGUGAAAUGCGUAGAUAUAUGGAGGAACACCGGUGGCGAAAGCGGCUCUCUGGCUUGUAACUGACGCUGAGGCUCGAAAGCGUGGGGAGCAAACAGGAUUAGAUACCCUGGUAGUCCACGCCGUAAACGAUGAGUGCUAGGUGUUAGACCCUUUCCGGGGUUUAGUGCCGUAGCUAACGCAUUAAGCACUCCGCCUGGGGAGUACGACCGCAAGGUUGAAACUCAAAGGAAUUGACGGGGGCCCGCA
rnacentral:rRNA from 1 species